AGAGUUUGAUCCUGGCUCAGGAUGAACGCUAGCUACAGGCUUAACACAUGCAAGUCGAGGGGAAACGAUAUUGGAAGCUUGCUUCCGAUAGGCGUCGACCGGCGCACGGGUGAGUAACGCGUAUCCAACCUGCCCACCACUUGGGGAUAACCUUGCGAAAGUAAGACUAAUACCCAAUGAUAUCUCUAGAAGACAUCUGAAAGAGAUUAAAGAUUUAUCGGUGAUGGAUGGGGAUGCGUCUGAUUAGCUUGUUGGCGGGGUAACGGCCCACAAGGCGACGAUCAGUAGGGGUUCUGAGAGGAAGGUCCCCCANAGUUGGAACUGAGACACGGUCAACUCAUACGGGAGCA
rnacentral:rRNA from 1 species